AGUAGAGGGCGCACUCUUGUGAGCGGCUUUUGUACCCAGUUGCUUCCUGGCUGCUUUACGGUCGAUUUGCAGGCAGUCCGCUUUGUACAAGCCAUGGUAUAGAGGCUUCCUUAUUUACCUCCCUUAUCCUUCAGCUUGGAGCCCUGCGAGCCAGAGGCGGCGCUGGCUUGGAGAGUGAUGGCGGCAUGGGGGUGCGGUGGCGGCUGCGAACACCUUGAGGAUGGGUCUCAUUAUGUUGCCCAGGCUGGACUUGAACUUCUGGGCUUGAGCAAUUCUCCCACCUCAGCCUACCAAGCAGCUGGGACUACAGGUCUGCACCACUGCACCCCACCCAUUCAAGUCCACAUCCCCAGAAAUGAGGAUAAUGCUUGGCACAAGGUGUUUAUUAUUCCCUUGCUUUUCUUCAUAAUUUCACCACAUAAAU